rnacentral:rRNA from 1 species
AGCGAACGCUGGCGGCAGGCCUAACACAUGCAAGUCGAACGAAGUCUUCGGACUUAGUGGCGGACGGGUGAGUAACACGUGGGAACGUACCUUUUGGUUCGGAACAACUCAGGGAAACUUGAGCUAAUACCGAAUGUGCCCUUCGGGGGAAAGAUUUAUCGCCACUUAGAGCGGCCCGCGUUAGAUUAGCUAGUUGGUGGGGUAAAGGCCCACCAAGGCUACGAUCUAUAGCUGGUCUGAGAGGAUGAUCAGCCACACUGGGACUGAGACACGGCCCAGACUCCUACGGGAGGCAGCAGUGGGGAAUCUUGCGCAAUGGGCGAAAGCCUGACGCAGCCAUGCCGCGUGAAUGAUGAAGGUCUUAGGAUUGUAAAAUUCUUUCAGUAGGGACGAUAAUGACGGUACCUACAGAAGAAGCCCCGGCUAACUUCGUGCCAGCCGCCGCAGUAA